rnacentral:lncRNA from 1 species
GAUGAUAUAAAUCUAUGUAGAUGGGUUUUCCGGUUAUGAACAUGGCCUGCCUUGCUUAUUCGAAUAAUGGUCAUCCCACAUUAGAGUUACGACGUAAACCACAGGGUCCAAAACCAUCUUCCAAACAGAGCACAGCCCAUUCUUUCUUCUUCUAUUUUCCAAAACGACUGACCUGAUACAUAAUGGCAACAACAUAACCAUACCAUGCAACUUUUAUUAAAAGACUUGAAAUAUUCCUAUCA